rnacentral:tRNA from 1 species
GCCGUCAUAGCUCCAGUGGUAGAGCAUUCGCCUUGUAAGCGAAUGGCCCGGGGUUCGAAUCCUCGUGACGGCACCA